UAGAACUGCAUCAAGAUGGAUCCAGGGAAUAGGGUGUUAACUGGUAGAACUGGGAGUAGAACCCCCUCUCCUUCCACCAUGCUCACUCACACUGUACGGAAGGUGUUCCGUAACCACGGGGAGUUCUGUGCAAGUCAGCCCUGGGAGGUGAUCGUAGCUACGCUAACUUUCUUGGUUUGCAUCCUCACAGUCUGGGGGAAACAUGGAGAUCAACCCCAACCUUCAAACCUUAAUACUACAUCCAGUACACAAACAUCAGAGGUUGGAGGCUCUUGGACCACAAUGGAGUUGGUUAUCAUGACAUUUAUCCGCUGCCUGGCCUUGUUGCACUGCUACUACCACUUCAAGAAGGUUCACAGGGUCGGCUCCAGUCUUAUCAUGAAGAUCACUUUGGCUUACCUUGCCUUCACGAUGAUCCUGUACAGCCUGAUCGUGUUCGGUAUGAUGGGACCCGAGUUUGAUAACGUCAAGGAGUCUUGGUUUCUUAUCAUGCUCUUCACGGAUAUACCAAAGGUGACCCGUCUUGCCCAGUUUGCUCUGACUUCCUCUCAUCAGCGACGUAUAUCUGAGAACCUGGCUGUCGGGAUGGCCCAGCUUGGUCCUGUUAUGACUUUCGAGACGGUUGGAAAAGUCCUUGUUGUCGGACUCUGUGGACUGACAAACUAUACUCGACUAGAACUACUUUGCACCUUUGCUCUGAUCACAGUAUUCGUUGACUUUCUGACCUUCAUGAGCUUCUACCCCUCCGGGCUCUCCCUGGUCAUAGAGUUAAUGUUCAACAAGAACGGGCGUCCGCACUGGGAUGUAAAACAGAUCAUUAAGAUGCUUCCUCAUGAAGAGACACAGAAUUCUGUUGUGUAUAGGGUGCGCGUGAUCGCUAUGACCGGACUGGUGGUGGUGCACACCUUCUGCCGAUGGCCGGUAGAUUACUCGGUAGAAAAAUCUGCUAGGACAGCUCAGUAUAUCAGUAGCGAGUGGUUAAAGCUCAUCGUUGCUAACGCAGAGCAGUUCUGCAUCCUUGCGCUCGUGCUCGCUUUGGCUGUGAAGUACCUGUUCUACGAGGACUGGGAGGAGAACUGCAGAAUCAGGAAAACCUACCUAGAGGAGCUGGAGAGGAAGUUCGAGGAGGCCAGUGAGAGUGAGUCCGUGGACACCAACACCAGCGAGCGGUCAACUCUGAGAGACUGUGUGCGUACUGGUGGAGACGAGAUGGAUAGAUCUUCGAACUCAACAGAUGAAGGCAUCAGCCUAAGUACACUGUCUCAAAGAAGAAUGUCUGCUAACUUUGACCGACGGUUGUCUAGCAACUUGGACAGAAGAUUAUCAGCCGGGGCUAAAUCUUUGCAUUCUCACAGGGAUAGAGUAUCUAUCGUUGUUGGAUGUGAUUCAUUCUCUGAGAGUCCUUGGCCUGAGAUGUACCUUGAGGCUGUGGAUGCCGAGGUUCAAACAGACUCGACUGUUCAACCAUCUCAAUCCUACCACGAUCAAACCCUAGAGGAAGAGAAGGAUUCACUGGACUAUGAGCAAGUACCAAGAGAAGUGGCUGAAUGCGUGAAAAUCAUGAAUUCUUCCGAGGAUGGAACCUCCUCUCUCAUAGACGAGGAGAUUAUUCAGUUAGUUGACACCAAACAUAUUGCUUGCCACCAGCUGGAGAAGAUCCUUAACAAUCCAACCAGGGGUGUGGAGAUCAGAAGAAAGAUUAUCGGUAAAGCUGGGAACAUGCGACGUGCCAUGAACACACUCCCCUACAAACAUUACGACUACCAGCUGGUAAUGGGGGCGUGUUGUGAGAAUGUGGUCGGAUAUAUGCCUGUACCUGUCGGGGUCGUGGGACCUCUCAACCUGGAUGGAAACCCUAUACAUAUCCCAAUGGCGACAACUGAAGGUUGUCUGGUUGCCAGCACUAACCGAGGGUGUAGAGCUCUCAAGGAUUGUGGUGUUAACACUGCAAUAACUUAUGAUGGUAUGACUAGAGGUCCAGUGAUAAGACUGCCAUCCAUGCAUAGAGCCACAGAGGUCAUGCGCUGGUUGGAAAACAAAUCAAAUUUUGAGGUUGUGAAAACAAAUUUCGACUCCACAAGCCGGUUUGCUAGGCUCCAGCGAUUACACAUACGCAUCGCCGGAAGACUUCUUUAUAUCAGAUUUGUUGCCAAGAGUGGCGAUGCUAUGGGCAUGAACAUGCUUAGUAAAGCGACAGAGUUCUCAUUGAGACGAAUGUUGGAUAUCUUCCCGGAUAUGGAAAUCCUCAGCCUUUCAGGAAACUUCUGCACAGAUAAGAAACCAGCUGCCGUCAACUGGGUUGAGGGUCGAGGUAAAUCUGUGGUUGCAGAGGCCAUUGUUCCAGCUUUUAUUGUUAAAACUGUUCUUAAAACUUCAACCUCAGCACUUGUCGACCUCAAUAUAUCUAAAAACCUCAUUGGCUCUUCCAUGGCUGGAUCCAUAGGUGGAUUCAACGCACAUGCAGCAAAUAUAAUCACAGCUAUAUAUAUUGCUACUGGACAAGAUGCUGCACAGAAUGUUGGAAGUAGUAACUGUAUUACACUAAUGGAACCCUGGGGUAGGGAUGGAGAGGAUCUGUACAUAACAUGCACAAUGCCCAGUAUAGAGGUCGGAACAGUAGGAGGAGGAACUGUCCUACCAGCUCAAGGAGCAUGCCUGGAGAUGCUUGGUGUCCGAGGACCUCAUCCCGCCUGCCCAGGAGAGAAUGCAUCCCAGCUGGCUAGAAUAGUCUGUGGAGCUGUUCUAGCAGGGGAACUGAGUCUCAUGUCUGCUCUAGCAGCUGGUCAUCUCGUCCGUUCCCAUCUUCGUCACAAUCGGUCAACUCAGGGACCUCUAGCCCCUCAGGUCGAGCGACCAUUGUGCUCUAGCUCCCCCCUUCCCCAGCAACAGCAGCAGUCUGGGGAACCUAGUUUUAAAGAUCUUGUUCCUUGUGCUCCACUUUGACGUAGUCACUCAGAUAAAUAGUUCACACAUCUCUUAAACUUAGCAGAACAACUCUUAACGAUGUCAUUUCCCACCAAUGUCUAUUUUGGAAGUUGUCAAGCUGUGAGAGUAGAGUUCAGCUUGUACUGCUGUACGAUACCCUGUCUUCCUGUUGCAGCACAUUAUAGCUUCUAUUGCUGUUGCAGUACUGUACAGCUUGUCCCACUGUUGCAGUACGAGUUGUUCUCCAAUGACGUCUAAAGACCUCUCUACUAAAGCCCAGUUGAAGUAGAGAACGCGGUAUCUUCAUUAAACAACGUAUUAAGUGAAACAUUCAACCAAAUAGAUACCUUCGCUACCUACCUUCAGUUUUACUCCGUCCAGACACAUGAUGAAGUUUAUCCAACCAACUUAUCACCAGAUCUUCUAGUUCUUCUCUUCACAUCCCUGCUAGAUUACGUAUUCUUCCAUUCAUGAAUUGUAAACCCCCAGUAUCAUUUAAUUUUCUUUUUUUUAGAAAAAUCAGGCUGCUCUCUUUAAAUCCCAGUAUGUCAUCAAGUAAGCACUUUUUAAGAGAAACUCGGUGAAUACGCUCUCUACAAAAAGCGCCUAUUUUUAAUUAAAUUUCCAAAAUAAUCAAAAUUUAUUUUUGUAAAAAGUGUUCAGCAUUAUUUUUGAGCCCAUGUUGAUGAUUAUAAUCUAGUUUAUACAUACAUAUAUACAUAUAUACAAUUUUAUAUUUUUAACAAUUUUAUUGUUGGUUUAUCUUAGUUGUUGAUAAAAAGGCUGACAAAUUAUUCUGUUUGUUUAUUUAAAAUAAGUUGUUUGAUAAUAUGUCGUCAAUUCUACAUUAUUGCAUUUGAUCAAUGUAUUUAUUUCUAGCCCAGUUCACUCAACAAUUCUCUAGGAUACUAAUAAUAGUAAUGUAGAUUGUAGAUUUUCUUCUAUAUUAUAACCUAGAGAAUCUAGACUUUCUAGAUAACUAGUAAUCUAGUCUACAUAGAUUACUCUUAAUAUAGAUUAUGGAGAUUACUAAUAACUAUAGGUUACAAGUAACUUAGAUUCUUUAGGUUACUAGUAACUUAGUUAACGUUCUUAAUGAGUUGUUGAUUAGCGAGCAAGUGUUUAGACCAAUGAAAUAGUUAAUUCUUGUUAAUGUGGUAACAUACGCAAUUUUUUUCAUUAAAGCAAAAUACAUUAAUCCUGUGUCUCAUGUUUUCCUUUACCAGGAUAUAACAAACAAAAAUAUUUGUAUAAUUUAAUCUGAUGCAUUCUGUUCCAUGUUUACUCUUCAUUGUAAAUUGUGUAAUAUAUUAGGUAGUUAUUUUUAUGCUAAUUUUCUGAUGGGUUAAUUCAAUUAUUUCCCGCUUUAUGGGGAUCAAAGGGGAGAGGGGGGGUGUUAACAUUUUUAAACCAAACAAUAGUACAAAGCUCAAAUGAUAUUACUUGUGAAAACAAAUAAUGUUUUUUUAAAUAAAAAAAUUUCAAUUUCAA
rnacentral:misc_RNA from 1 species